CCCAGAUAAUGGCACUCUCAA
rnacentral:miRNA from 5 species